GACGAACCGUCCAAACGUUAUUCGGAAUCACUGGGCUUACAGAGUUCGUAGGCGGUCUGGAAAGUUGGGUGUGAAAUCCCUCGGCUUAACCGAGGAACUGCGCUUGAAACUACCAGACUCGAGGGAGAUAGAGGAAAGCGGAACUGAUGGUGGAGCGGUGAAAUGCGUUGAUAUCAUCAGGAACACCGGUGGCGAAGGCGGCUUUCUGGGUCUUACCUGACGCUGAGGAACGAAAGCCAGGGGAGCGAACGGG
rnacentral:rRNA from 1 species